rnacentral:rRNA from 1 species
GUUGGCCUCGGAUCAGGUGGGGAUACCCGCUGAACUUAAGCAUAUCAAUAAGCGGAGGAAAAGAAACCAACAGGGAUUGCCUCAGUAACGGCGAGUGAAGCGGCAACAGCUCAAAUUUGAAAUCUGGCUCACGCCCGAGUUGUAAUUUGUAGAGGAUGUUUCGGGUGAAGCCACGGUCCAAGUCCCUUGGAACAGGACGUCAUAGAGGGUGAGAACCCCGUACCUGGCCGUCGGUGCCCCCCGCUGUGAAACUCCUUCGACGAGUCGAGUUGUUUGGGAAUGCAGCUCUAAAUUGGUGGUAAAUUCCAUCUAAAGCUAAAUACCGGCCAGAGACCGAUAGCGCACAAGUAGAGUGAUCGAAAGAUGAAAAGCACUUUGAAAAGAGAGUUAAAAAGUACGUGAAAUUGUUGAAAGGGAAGCGCUUGCGGCCAGACUUGCCCGCGGUUGCUCAGCCCGCCUUUUGGCGGGUGCACUCUUCCGCGGUCAGGCCAGCAUCGGUUUGGGCGGCCGGAUAAAGACGCCGGGAACGUGGCCUCCCCUCGGGGAGGUGUUAUAGCCCGGCGUGCAAUGCGACCAGCCCGGACCGAGGUUCGCGCUCUGCUAGGAUGCUGGCGUAAUGGCCGUAAGCGGCCCGUCUUGAAACACGGACCAAGGAGUCUAACAUCUAUGCGAGUGUUUGGGUGUCAAACCCGUGCGCGUAAUGAAAGUGAACGGAGGUGGGAACCCGCAAGGGCGCACCAUCGACCGAUCCUGAUGUCUUCGGAAGGAUUUGAGUAAGAGCAUAGCUGUUGGGACCCGAAAGAUGGUGAACUAUGCGUGAAUAGGGUGAAGCCAGAGGAAACUCUGGUGGAGGCUCGCAGCGGUUCUGACGUGCAAAUCGAUCGUCAAAUUUGCGUAUAGGGGCGAAAGACUAAUCGAACCAUU